CCUACGGGAGGCAGCAGUGGGGGAUAUUGCACAAUGGGGGAAACCCUGAUGCAGCGACGCCGCGUGUGGGAAGACGGUCCACUGGAGUGUAAACCACUGUAGCCAGGGACGAAGAUGACGGGACCGGGGGAGGAAGCGCCGGCUAACUACGUGCCAGCAGCAGCGGUAAUACGGCGGGAGCAAGCGUGGUCCGGAAUUACUGGGGGUAAAGGGAGCGGAGGCGGGCUGGCAAGUUGGGUGUUUCAUCUACCGGCUCAACUGGUAGUCGCACUCCAAACUGCUAUUCUUGAGUGAAGUAGAGGCAGGCCGCAUUCCUAGUGUAGCGGUGCACUUCCUAGCUAUUCGGAGGAACUCCAGUGGCGAAGGCGGCCUGCUGUGCUUUUACUGACGCUGCGGCUCGAAAGUGUGGGGAGCAAACAGGAUUAGAUACCCUUGUAGUC
rnacentral:rRNA from 1 species